AGUGUCAAGGGAUGGGAAUCAGAACCCACGACCUUCCGCUUACCGGGCAGAUGCCAUGACCACUAGGCCACAUGACC
rnacentral:tRNA from 1 species